AUUGAACGCUGGCGGCAGGCCUAACACAUGCAAGUCGAGCGGUAGAGCGAAGCUUGCUUCUCUUGAGAGCGGCGGACGGGUGAGUAAGGCCUAGGAAUCUGCCUGGCAGCUGGGUAGAACGUUCUGACACGGACGCUAAUACGCCAUUCGUCCUACGGGCGAAAGCAUGGGACCUUCGGGCCUUGCGCUAUCAGAUGAGCCGAUGUCGGAUUAGCUAGUUGGCGGGUUAAAGGCACACCAAGGCGACGAUCCGUAGCUGGUCUGAGAGGAUGAUCAGUCACACUGGAACUGAGACACGGUCCAGACUCCUACGGGAGGCAGCAGUGGGGAAUAUUGGACAAUGGGCGCAAGCCUGAUCCAGCCAUACCGCGUGGGUGAAGAAGGCCUUCGGGUUGUAAAGCCCUUUUGUUGGGAAAGAAAAGCAGCAGGGUAAUACCCCGCUGGUCUGACGGUACCCAAAGAAUAAGCACCGGCUAACUUCGUG
rnacentral:rRNA from 1 species